rnacentral:rRNA from 1 species
UACGUAGGGUGCGAGCGUUAAUCGGAAUUACUGGGCGUAAAGCGUGCGUAGGCGGUUCGUUAAGUUCGUUGUGAAAGCCCCGGGCUUAACCUGGGAAUGGCAUUUGGGGACUGCAAGGCUGGAGUGUGGCAGAGGAGACUGGAAUUCCUGGUGUAGCAGUGAAAUGCGUAGAUAUCAGGAGGAAUACCGAUGGCGAAGGCAGGUCUCUGGGCUGACACUGACGCUCAUGCACGAAAGCGUGGGGAGCAAACAGG